rnacentral:rRNA from 1 species
CAGCAUGGAAUAACAAAAUUGAACAAGUCAGAAUUCUGUUCUUUUUUCUUAUUUUGGCUUAGUUACGAUUAAUAGGAGUAGCUUGGAGGCAUUUGUAUUCAGAUGUCAGAGGUGAAAUUCUUAGAUUUUCUGGAGACAAACAACUGCGAAAGCAUUUGCCUAAAAUACUUCCAUUAAUCAAGAACGAAAGUUAAGGGAGUGAAGACGAUCAGAUACCGUCGUAAUCUUAACCAUAAACUAUGCCGACUAGGUUUUGGAUGAAACAUUUUUAAAUAAGAAAAUUCCUUUCGGGGAAAUUUCUUAGAUUGCUUCCUUCAGUACCUUAUGAGAAAUCAAAGUCUUUGGGUUCUGGGGCGAGUAUUCGCGCAAGCGAGAAAGUUAAAAGAAUUGACGGAAGGGCACCACCAGGCGUGGAGCUUGCGCUUAAUUUGACUCAACACGGGGAAACUCACUAGUUUAAGACAAGAGUAGGAUUGACAGAUUAAUAGCUCUUUCUUGAUUUCUUGGAUGGUGAUGCAUGGCCGUUUUUAGUUCGUGAAUAUGAUUUGUCUGGUUAAUUCCGAUAACGAACGAGAUCUUAACCUGCUAAUUAGCGGCGAA